ACGCUGGCGGCAUGCUUUACACAUGCAAGUCGGACGGCAGCACAGAGAAGCUUGCUUCUUGGGUGGCGAGUGGCGAACGGGUGAGUAAUAUAUCGGAACGUACCGAGUAAUGGGGGAUAACUAAUCGAAAGAUUAGCUAAUACCGCAUAUUCUCUGAGGAGGAAAGCAGGGGACCUUCGGGCCUUGCGUUAUUCGAGCGGCCGAUAUCUGAUUAGCUAGUUGGUGGGGUAAAGGCCUACCAAGGCGACGAUCAGUAGUGGGUCUGAGAGGAUGAUCCGCCACACUGGGACUGAGACACGGCCCAGACUCCUACGGGAGGCAGCAGUGGGGAAUUUUGGACAAUGGGCGCAAGCCUGAUCCAGCCAUGCCGCGUGUCUGAAGAAGGCCUUCGGGUUGUAAAGGACUUUUGUCAGGGAAGAAAAGGCUGUUGCUAAUACCGACAGCUGAUGACGGUACCUGAAGAAUAAGCACCGGCUAACUACGUGCCAGCAGCCGCGGUAAUACGUAGGGUGCGAGCGUUAAUCGGAAUUACUGGGCGUAAAGCGAGCGCAGACGGUUACUUAAGCAGGAUGUGAAAUCCCCGGGCUCAACCUGGGAACUGCGUUCUGAACUGGGUGACUAGAGUGUGUCAGAGGGAGGUAGAAUUCCACGUGUAGCAGUGAAAUGCGUAGAGAUGUGGAGGAAUACCGAUGGCGAAGGCAGCCUCCUGGGAUAACACUGACGUUCAUGCUCGAAAGCGUGGGUAGCAAACAGGAUUAGAUACCCUGGUAGUCCACGCCCUAAACGAUGUCAAUUAGCUGUUGGGCAACUUGAUUGCUUAGUAGCGUAGCUAACGCGUGAAAUUGACCGCCUGGGGAGUACGGUCGCAAGAUUAAAACUCAAAGGAAUUGACGGGGACCCGCACAAGCGGUGGAUGAUGUGGAU
rnacentral:rRNA from 1 species